rnacentral:rRNA from 1 species
UACGGAGGGAGCUAGCGUUGUUCGGAAUUACUGGGCGUAAAGCGCACGUAGGCGGCUUUUUUAAGUCAGGGGUGAAAUCCCGGAGCUCAACUCCGGAACUGCCCUUGAAACUGCAGUGCUAGAAUCUUGGAGAGGCGAGUGGAAUUCCGAGUGUAGAGGUGAAAUUCGUAGAUAUUCGGAAGAACACCAGUGGCGAAGGCGACUCGCUGGACAAGUAUUGACGCUGAGGUGCGAAAGCGUGGGGAGCAAACAGG